rnacentral:ncRNA from 2 species
UUGAGCCGUGUGCGGUGAAAGUCGCACGCACGUUUCUUAGGGGACGGAGUGGCCGUAAGGUCACCCUGUUACCCGAC